AUGAUUAUACUCUUUAGGAUCAUUUUUAUAGUGACCUAACCGAGUCCACACAUUCACAUGUGCCACACCUUUAACUUCAUUCGAUGACACUGUUCACGCCGCCCUCACACCGAGAACCUCUGCCGCUUCACCGCGGCUCGAUGACGUGCGCGCAUGAGCGAAGCCGGCCGCUUGCGGCUGCGUUUUGCGAGUGCGCGGGGCGGGUGUGACUUUUCUGAUGAAGU
rnacentral:snoRNA from 1 species